AUGUUCUCUACAUCUCUACUGCUCCUGCUGGCAGCUGCUUCUUAUGUGCAUGGUGAGGAACUGACUCAGCCUGCUUCCAUGACAGUCCAGCCAGGCCAGAGUCUCUCCAUCCAGUGCAAGGUUUCAUAUUCAGUUACAAGCUACAGUACACAUUGGAUUCGACAACCUGCAGGAAAAGCUCUGGAGUGGAUUGGACGCAUCAGCAGUGGAGGGGGUACAGCUUACAGUGAGAAACUGAAAAAUAAGUUCAGCAUCUCCAGAGACACUUCUACUAACACAAUAACAAUUGGAGGACAGAACAUGCAGACUGAAGACACAGCUGUGUAUUACUGCGCUCGUUAC